CCCACCUCCCUCCUCCGCCUUCUUCUUGUUCUGCCUCUUUCAUCCCCUCCCUCCUCCUCUGUCCCUUCUUCUGCUCCUCACAUCUCCUCCCCUCUUCGUCUGCCCUCUUCCGACGGUACGCUGCUUUCGAACUUCCCUUCCGAGUCCGUUGCGGCCGUAGGCUUCCAGGAGGGUCCCGUUGCGAAGCGCAAGGCGCUGGCCUUUGUUGGGUCCGAAUCGUUCCGUCGUAAGAGUUUUCUAAUACGAUAUUGGAUCUUGAAGUUCUCCUCUCAAUUUUUCGUUUGUGAUGUUGAAUCUUGAAUUCAUAGAGUUAUUAGUUUUACCAUCUUCCGACGACAGGCGGCUUUUGAACUUCCCAUUUGGUUCAUCGCCACACCCCAGGCUUUCGGGAGGUUCCUGUUGCGGAGCUCAAGGCGCUGGGCUUUGUUGGGUCCAGAUCGGGCUUACUUUCCGUCGUUAGAUCGGAGACCGCUCCAUCCCUCCUCACAUUUGUUUUACCGCCUCAUGGGAUUUUGAUGGAAAUAGUACUCAAAACCCUCAAAAACAUCAAAACAGAGAGAAUCGAUAAGUUGUGCUCACAGAGGACUUGAGCAGCAUCGCUGGUCUGAUCCAAGAAAACAAGUGAAGAACAAAUCUCAAUAGAAUGGAAGGAGAAAGAUCGAGUCCGAUCCAAGAAAACAAGUGAACAAUGACAUAUCUCCAAAGAAUGGGAGGAGUGGAUCGAGAGAGAAUCGAGAAGUUUUACCAUCUGAUCGAGGAGGUAAAAGAAGACCUCUCCAUCCCUCCUCGCGUUCGUUUUACCGCCUCAUGGGAUUUUGAUGGAAAUAGUACUCAAAACCCUCAAAACACAUCAAACGAGAGGAAAUCGAGAAGUUCUACUCACAGAGAACUUAAGCGCCAUCGCUGGUCUAAUCCAAGAAAACAAAUGAAGCACAAAUCUCAACAGAAUGGGAGAGGAAAGAUCGACUCCGAUCUAAGAAAACAAAUGAACAAGGACAGAUCUCAAAAGAAUGGGAAAAGAAAAAUCGAGAGAGAUCAGCGAAUGAUCGAGAAGUUCUUUUCACCUGAUCGAGGAGGAAGAAGAAGACCGCUCCAUCCAUCCCUGCGUUCGUCUUACCACCUCAUUCGAUUUUGACGGAAAUAUUAACUCAAAACCACGACACCAGAGAGGGGCGGCAUUUAUAGGCAGAGGUCGUCACGUGCUGUGCACCUGAUAGUUUCCAAACCGCCAAAGUCCAGUACGAAACGGAUCACAACUUGAGUCGCGACUCCACUCUGACCGACUGCCAACUGUUGUGGCCAUUAGGAGAUUAUCGGAUCAAAUCCACUCGGAUCCGAAUCCGGGUCCGUAAAUUUUUAGGACCUUUUAACUAUUACAAUCCUUGUCGAUACACGUGAUAUUAAAAAAAUAAUGGUGCAAUCCUUCUUGGAUCA